CGAUGUGAGGCGGGCGAGCCGGCCACCGUGCGCGGGAUCGGAGAGGGCACACGGGCGAAGGCGGGCAGCUGACCGAGGAGCGCCCGGGAACGGACUUGGGACACCCCCUCCAAGGGAAGAAAUGAGGUAGCGGCAGUCGCCGGAGCCGGCGAUGCGCGCGCCCAGCCCUCGGAGCCCAGCACUGCCCCAGCGGAACGGGCCGGGACAGUGAGCCGGCGAGCGCGAGUUGCCGGCGGGGGUGCGGGCGUGCUGCGGGGAGCCGCAGAGGAUGCGGUGAGCCACGGCGGCGCUGCUGCGCGGGGCCCGCCCGACCCACCACCGGAUUGCACCUGGGGCUAAGCUGCGGAUUCGGGGACCGGCCCAGCACCCCUGGGGGGGGGGGGCGGGGAGCUCUUGGACGCUCUGCGAGAGUUCCCGCGGCUGUUGGCCCCAGGCCCAGGGGUUGUGAGUGUGUGAGCAUCCCCCAUCCCCCGCCCGGCGCUCACGAUCGCCGCCGAAGAGUUCUGCAUAUUCUCGCCCCAUUCUGGAUGCUCCUGCUGCGACCCUUCUAUUUAUUUGUACGUGCCCAUCUAGCUUAUUCCUAAAACAUUUUCCGAUCCACUCCCCUUCCCUCGGUUGUGCUGCUUGCCUGAGACUUUAGCUUUGGUCCUUGCUCAGGCUGGGGUAGGGGUGUGUGUGUGUGCGCCCAGGCUUUCCCUC